UUAAAAAUCUUGAGAAACUUUUUUUUUUUUAAAAAAAACUUAUAGCAACGGAUCUCUUGGCUCUCGUAUCGAUGAAGAACGCAGCGAAAUGUGAUAAGUAAUGUGAAUUGCAGAAUUCAGUGAAUCAUCGAAUCUUUGAACGCAUCUUGCGCUCUUUGGUAUUCCGAAGAGCAUGUCUGUCUGAGUGUCACGAAACUCUCAACCUCCUUUCCUUUGUGAUCGGCUGGUUGGAUCAUGGGCGCUUGCCGGCCAGGUCGGCUCGCCUGAAAUGCAUUUGCGAUGUUGUGUCCUUGUGAGUUGGCCCGACUAGGCGUGAUGGUAACGACGUUCGUCUAGGAUCCCGCUUCGGCGAGGAGCCGCUCCUGUUGGGCGUUUGCCUUCGCAUGAACACUCAUAUCUUUGGUUUAGACCUCAGAUCAGGCAGGAUUACCCGCUGAACUUAAGCAUAUCAAUAAGCGGAGGAAG
rnacentral:rRNA from 1 species